UUUAUGGAGAGUUUGAUCCUGGCUCAGGAUGAACGCUGGCGGCGUGCCUAAUACAUGCAAGUCGAGCGAACGGACGAGAAGCUUGCUUCUCUGAUGUUAGCGGCGGACGGGUGAGUAACACGUGGAUAACCUACCUAUAAGACUGGGAUAACUUCGGGAAACCGGAGCUAAUACCGGAUAAUAUUUUGAACCGCAUGGUUCAAAAGUGAAAGACGGUCUUGCUGUCACUUAUAGAUGGAUCCGCGCUGCAUUAGCUAGUUGGUAAGGUAACGGCUUACCAAGGCAACGAUGCAUAGCCGACCUGAGAGGGUGAUCGGCCACACUGGAACUGAGACACGGUCCAGACUCCUACGGGAGGCAGCAGUAGGGAAUCUUCCGCAAUGGGCGAAAGCCUGACGGAGCAACGCCGCGUGAGUGAUGAAGGUCUUCGGAUCGUAAAACUCUGUUAUUAGGGAAGAACAUAUGU
rnacentral:rRNA from 1 species